UCUAGGCAUAUAUAUAUUUAUCCCAUUGAGGUCUUUGCCCUGCACAAGUCCUGCACACAUGACUUCUCUCUGCUGUUGUCGUAGAGCCAAUUGAAAUUACUGAAAAAAGGUUUUAUAUGAUGAGAUCUUCCUCUUCUUCCAUGCUACCAGCCAUGGCAAUCCUGGCUGUCAUACUCAUGUGCUGCUCCCUGCCAUGCUCAGCUGCCAUCCAAGUUCAUACGGACGGAAAUCGUCAGGGACAGAGCCCUCCAUCGCCACAGGCAGCUCCACGCGAGGGUACCGCAUGCCCUAACACUACGCCGCCGGAACCUGCAGCGCCGCACCGCAAGGCCCUGCUGCGGGCUGUUCCAGUGCCACCGAUGUGAUGAACUAUCCUAUGCGAGUCUCGGGAAGUUCAUCGUUUCAGAUGCAAGAAGGAGAGUUAAGUAGUGCCAGUGCCACCGAGAGAUGUUGCUAGAUUACAGAAAAUUAUGUAUGGAGAGAUGGCCGUAUUAUUGUGUAUCCGUACAUAUAAAGAAAAUCCUUCAAUAAGAUGGCUCUGUGCAUCGUUUCUUAAUGAUUGUAUCAGUGUUAAAUAGCAAGCAUCUAUUGUCAUGUAGGAGUACGUCGCAUCUGAAAGAAAUAUAGUGGACAAGAGUGUUCUUUCUAA